CGCCGUGGUCCGCGUUUAUUACUAUAGUGGCGGUUGGAGCUGUGGUGCGGCCGCUCGCUGAGCUCUCGUCCUCCGGGUGCUGCUACCCGCUAGCAGCGAAGCGCUCUCAAGGGGUGAGGGAGGGCUCCCGGCUUAGGGGAACUGUGUUUCUGCCAUCGUGUGAGCGCGGCUGGCUCGGAGCCUGAGGACUGAAGUGCAGUGAAAGAAGAUCCUAUAAGAAAAGACUCUGGAGAUGGAGCACAAAAGUUCUGCAGCUCUAGUAAUGUAGAGAUGUGCUGAUAUAGCCCUGCUGCUCCUAG
rnacentral:lncRNA from 1 species